rnacentral:lncRNA from 1 species
UGUUGUCGAUUGAACAAUACGACAUAAUACGUGGAGUUGAGCUAUGAUACUUUUAUAAGUAUCACCAUCAUGGUGCUAUUAGGUUUUAAGCCAUUGGAUCUACUUUUUGAUUAUUAAUAGCCCUUGGAUUAAACACUAUUCCACCUACCACCACCUACCACCACCUACCACCAUCAUCUCAACCUCACAUCUCUCCAUCCAAGGGCUAAAAACACACAAGUAUCACCCCCAUGAUACUUUUACAAGUAUUCUAGCCCUACUCUAAUACGUGAUUAUUUCUCUUUUUGAUAAUCUGCUUUUAUUCCACUAAUGAUAUAACAAAACUAUUCUAUAUAUUAAUCAUAUAUCCUUUAGGAUUUCUUACAAUGAGAUAAUAUAGGAAACUGUUUUGUUAUGACUUUUGACUUGAAAUAAUCUCUAAUAUGUGUAAUAUUUUUAUUUCUACAAAUAUUAUUUUUAUUGUCACUUAAUAAUAACUGAUGUAUGUUUAUGUUUAUUGUAAAUCUAUUCGUAUGCUACGAAGCCCGGAUUCUUAACUAGUAUAUAUGUGUGUGUGUAUGGAGAGAGAGAGAGAGAGAGAGAGAGAGAGAGAGAGAGUGAGUCCGGCUACUAUAUUAUUGAUAAUACCAAGCUUUUAAUACUAUAUAUCGAGUUUUCUACUAUUAUAUCUGCUCUUUGAUCAUUUCCACCUAUUAGAUUAUAAUAUUCAACUAAUCACCCCCUCAACCCUAAGGUAUCACUAUCAUCCUAACCACACAUUCUUUCAUUCAAUGGCCGAAAACUCAACAAUAUCAAGUAUUUUGUACUAUCAAUAGUAUAGUAG